AGAGAGAGCGAGAGAGGAGCGAGAGAGGAGCGAGAGAGAGAGAGAGAGAGAGAGAGAGAGAGAGAGAGAGAGAGAGAGAGAGAGAGAGAGGCCAGCCAGAUAGGUCCGGCCAGCCAGAUAGGACCAGUCAGGCAUCUUGAGACGACGUAGCCAGUCUCAAAAUAGUCCGAAUUAAUUGAAGAUAACUCCAGAAAUCUGUAAUUAAUUUUGAGGAUUUUGGCAAGGAGAUUGAUUCCAUUCCAGGCAUUACAAUUAGCCCGUUCUUCCAUAGCUCCUCCUAUCAGCCUCCUCUGUUCCCCACCCACUGCGUUGUCGAAAGCCCAGUGAACCAAAUUGACCUGACUAGAGUGUCAGUCAGACAACACCCUCCCCUGGAUGAAUGCCUCUGUACUAAGUUGUGUCUGAUGAGUACCGGUGUUCCUCUGUCCCCUCUCAGGUGCGGGAGCAGUAUGAUGAUGUGUUGAGCUCUGGCCAGCAGGCCUUCCUAUUGGAGGAGACAAAUCAGAGUCCAGACAUGUUCCAGACGUGUAGGUAGUCUGCCUCCAGCGGGGAAGGCCUCUGUCAGCCUGGACUAUGUGACGGACAAGUUGAAAGGUGUGUUAGUGCUGGGCUGGAACAAAAACAUCAUAAUCUGUGGGUCUCUUUCUCCUCCUUUCUUCUCUCCCUGUCUCUCUCCUUCUUCCUCCAUCCCUCACCCCAUCUCUCUCUAAGUGGUAGUGUAGCCAGGUGAGGGGGCAGUGGGUGUACUCUGUUGUAGAUUUGUGUAUGUGAGAUCAUCUGUGGAUCUGUUGGGGCGGUAUAUGAAUAGGAGUGGUCCAGGGUUUCUGGGAUGAUGGUGUUAAUGAGAGCCAUUACCAGCCUUACAAAGCAUUUCAUGUGAGUGCUACGGGACGGUAGGCAUUUAGGCAGGAUGCCUUGGCGUUAUUGAGCAUGGGGACAAUGGUGGUCUGCUUGAAACAUGUAGGUUUUACAGACUGGGUCAGGGAGAGGUUGAAAAUGUCAGUGAGGACACUUGCCAUCUGGUCAGCGCAUGCUCUGAGUACGCGUCCUGGUAAUCCGUCUGGUCCUGCAGUCUUGUGAAUGAUAACCUGUCUUACUCACAUCAGCUACGGAGAGCGUGAUCACACAGUCGUCCAGAACAGCUGGUAUUGUGUUACUUGCCUUGAAGCGAGCAUAGAAGGCAUUUAGCUUAUUCGGUUGGCUCGCGUCACUGGGCGGCUCGCGUCACUGGGCAGCUCGCGACUGGGUUUGUAAUCCGUGAUAGUUUGCAAGCCCUGCCACAUCUGACAAGCGUCAGAGCUGAUAUAGUAGGAUUUAUCUUAGUCCUGUAUUGAAGCUUUGACUGUUUGAUGGUUCGUCGGGGGUGUAGCGGGAUUUCUUAUAAGUGUCCAGAUUAGUGUCCCGCUCCUUGAAAGCAGCAGCUCCAGCUCAGUGCAGAUGUUUCCUGUGCAGUUGAGUUUGGAUAUAUUACAGUACCUACGGUCACUGUGGGGAUGAUGUUGUCGAUGCUCUUAUUAAUGAAGCCUAUGAACUCCUCAAUGCCAUCGGAUGAAUCCCGGAACAUAUGCAUAUGUCUCUAUGUGCCUGUGUGUUCCAGUCUGUGCUCGCGAAACAGUCCUGUAGCUUAGCAUCCACUUCAUCUGACCACUUAUCUCAGGUGAGCAAAACCUCGAGACUUCCUUAAUAUUAGAGAUCGCGGACCAGCUACUGUUGACAAAGGCACACACCCCACCCCCGCUGAUCUGUUGUUCAGUCCUGUCCUGUCGAUGCACAGAAAACCCAGCUAACUAUAUAUUAUUAAUGUUCUUGUCAGCCACGACUCUGUGAAACAUAGGAUAUUACAGUUUUUAAUGUCCCGUUAAUAGGAUAGUCUUGAAUGGAGCUCAACCAGAUUAUUCUCCAGUGAUUGCAUGUUUGCCAGCAGAACAGUAGGUAAAGGCGGAUUAUCCACUCAUCAGGUAUCCCAUUAACCGGCCUCUUCUUACGAAUGACGGGGAUUUGGGCAUGGUCCGGGAAGAGCAGAAUGUCUUUUGCUACCGACUCAUUGAAAAAAAAUCCUUAACCAGAUCAAAAUCUCAGUGGACACAGAGAGCUUAGUGACCUGGCAAGCAGCCUGUUGAGAACGAGCUGAGCUUCAGUCUCAAGCCUGCAGAGGACACUGGGACCUGAGCCCUAGGACCAUGCCUCAGGACUACCUGGUAUGAUGACUCCUUGCUGUCCCC